CGCAAAAGGCUUAAAAGGACAAAGGUCGGAUGAAACGCAUUUUAGCAGGACGACGCAGAUCAAUUAUUUUUUUGUGAAGUAGCAUUGUUUACAUUAAGAAAGUUUUCUUCUCUUUAACUUCCCAAAAGGAAAAUUAACUUCUUCAGGUUCUUGUUCCGGUGUCCUGCCGGAAACCUGUCUUCUGGGACGUUCUUCACAAUUGAUGGGCGGGGUAUGCUUUAUAUGACAUGUCUGGAGAAUAAGGUGGAUGCUGAAGAACUUCGUAGCCAAGCUCUUUCAAUUUGUUUACAUCAUGAUUUGAAA